rnacentral:misc_RNA from 1 species
CGCCUGGCGUGAAUGAAAUGCAUGUGAUGCUCAAAGCGCGAUGGACGUGGUAGUUAAUUAGCGAGGUGGUAGUGAGCCUUGCGCUCUAGAAUCUGCUCAUUUGCAUUUGAAACUCUUCUCCGGGCAGGUUGCCUGACUAGCUGGCGACGGAAAGAGGUCAGGUGACUCGCAGGCCGGAGAUUGGCAGAUUGAACGGCCGAACGGCUUUGACAUCUGGGAUUUGAAUGCAUUGGUCUACGCGUUUUCGUUGUGCCUUUGAUGUUGUGACAUUUCUUGUACUGACCUAUAGACUGUAUCCCAUCUGUGCUUGUAAUACUUCACGCCGACACAAUGGCUGAAUUUCAAGCGAAAGACUUUGGGCUAAGCUUUCAGAAGAAAGUACUCGGCCGCGUGAGCAGCAAGAGCGUCGCCAAAGCUUUCAUUGAUGACACCUCGGCGAGUCUUUUGGAUAACUUGUACAAACUCGUCAAGAGCGUCACAGGCAGCAAAAAAGACGCAGAAAAGGUUACUAAGAACAUUAUAAAGAUCGUCGUGAAGGUUGGCAUCUUGCAUCGGAACAACCAAUUCUCAGCUGAAGAGAUAAAGGUGGCCAAGCAGCUACAGCACAAGAUGCGCGCUCUUGCCAUGGCGGUGGUAAGCUUUUAUGAGAUGGAGUUUUCGUAUGACCGACGAUACCUCGUGGGUGCCUUUGACGAGUGUCGUGCCCUGCUUUCCGACCUUGUGCGAUCCCACCUGACGGGCAAGUCACUGGGCCGGAUCGACUACGUCUUUGGCUUCUUUGGGAAACCAGAGACCCUCGACUCGGUGUUUGCAAGCGACAGCGUUCACCGAGAGUGCCUCGGAAGGAUUGUCAAGGACCUGCACGAGGCCUUGGAUAAGGAGAGUCUCUGAGAGAUAAGGUUGGCCUGGCCAUGAAGAAAAAUGCAUGUGCACCAUGCAUGCUGAAACAUUACCUGGUGAAACGGUUGUGCUUACUCGGCAUGUUGCGAGAUGUGCACCACACAAAAAUGUAGUCACUCUAUGCAAAACUAGAGGAAAAGUAAGCGUUAUGAUGAGAAUAACCAUGUUUGCUCACGAAGGAUUUUAUGUAAUCGAGAUUCUGUGUGCACUUACAGGGUCAGGCAGAGUUUGGUCUCUGAAAGCACUUGGCUUCUGAGGAGCCAAAAGAAUGGGUGUGCCUUGAACAAAAAGAAAGAUCACUAUGUGUCGGUCUACUUCUAAUUCCUGCUUUUACCUGGUGAGGUGCCUUUAGGUGUACAGGCUCCUGUGCAUCUGUCUAUAUAGUGUUCAAGUGGGCUGCAGCGAUUGAAACUUAGCCUGCAGCACUGAGCUUUUCUACUGGUUUCACAACUUAUACAUGCUUAUUGCUUUCACAGUGCCUGUGUGCAAGGUGGUGAUGUGCUUCAGUUUUAAACACAGCAAGGCUUAACAAGUGUUGGUCUGGUCAUGGAUACUAGGUAUAAACCACAGAAAAGAUACUGGCUCUCAGAGUGCUGCAGAUAGUUGGAACGUAAUAGCUUUGUACGGUCAGUGUUGUUUUCGUUCUCCAUGAUGUUAAAGUAUCAUGUCUUUGCAAUGCAGAAUGCGUUCACCCAGUCAGCUCAUAUGCUGCUGCUACUCAGUCACAACUUCCGCUUCACAUCGUGGUGUAGUAGAAACUAAACCAGAACUGGUUAUCAAGAAGUUCGAGGCACUCUAAGACUUCUGGUUAUUUUUUCGUCAGGUUUAGGAUGUCCUAGACCUUAGCUUAAAAAGAAAGGAUAGAUGAAGAGUCCAAAUAUGUCAGUACACUUCAUAAUUAUAGUCCUCACGGGGCCCAACGAGACCCUGCUGGCCAAGUGAGAUGUAAAUAUGUGAGGUUGCCAUUUCUGUAAAAGUUGCUCAUGUGGUGGUAGAUGCAGUGUUAUUUUAUUGCAAUGGUUAAAUGCAAAUGAAUUUUCGAAUGCUGUACAUGUAAUCAAAGGACCAGAACUCGGGCUUGCUUCAAGCAUUCCGAGAAUCCUCCCAGUGAGUACAACUUAAUAUAAUGCAUUAUGAACUUUUAGUAAGGCCAAACUGUGCUUUUGCCUUUGGUGUGAUGCACUAUUUCUUCGGUGUUUGUUAAUGGUGGUGUGUGGCCUUAUGCUAUGAAACCUUAAGCAUGUGCACGAGUUUGUGUGCGCAUUUUUUAUAUCUACUUACUCUUUCAUACAUUGUUACUACUUUGUGCUGCUGUAUUUUAUCACAGCCUUUUGUCUAUGAAUACAGCUGCCUAAGUCAUUGUUGUAGUUUAAAAAAAAAAAGACUUUUCUUUUGAGAUGCCAUGGUAUACACGGCUGCUUCUCUGUUUACGGCGAUGCUUUAAUCCCGGUCCAUUUCUUGUCAGCCGUUUAGUUGGAACAUUCCAUUGUCUCUUACAUGGAUUAUGUUAUUCGUGAAUGUGUACACUGUGUCUCCAGUUGUGCUACAAAUUCCACAGAGGAACAAAUUUAUUCGACUGAAAAUGCUGUUGCUCGUGGCAGAAACAAAUAUCAUCUUGGUGUUCGUUUCUGCUAGCCAUAUCUCGAUUACUUAUUACACAAGCAAGAUAUAUGUUCGUCCUGUUCAUGCCAAUAUAAUUCCAGUUUGUUGAUGUACUUGCAUUUUCACAGUGUCACGACUGCUAGUUGCUCAGUGAAAACUCGCGUGAUGUCAUGCGCAUCUGACUGGAACAUGCCAUUUAAAAAGAAGCGCUUGCUCAAGAACAACCAAUGAUCAUUUGAGCUACGUAACAAUGAAAACUCAUGCCCUUUUACAGUUGGAAGUUUACCAGUUUUUCUCAUUUUGUCGAAGGCAGCCAUCAGAAGAAUGAACCACUGGCUCAAUUAACUUCCAAGGAGCAUUGUAUUUUUUUUAAAUUAAUGCUAUUUUUUUCUUAAUGCAUGUUCACCGGUGUUCUGACUGCACACCUUUUUUUCCUCCAGCACUGCCUACCCCCCACUUUCCUGUUGUUUAUUUCUGUCUGAACCUUUUACCUUUGUUCUUUCUGUUUACACCUUUAUUAUUAUGUUGUUAUUGAUAAGUCUGCUUACGACUUUAUUCUAGUCUAAAGCACAUUUUACAGGUUUUAACACUGGGACUAAAUGUUAUACUCAUAAUAAUUCCUCCUUUUUGUAUGUCUUUUUUCAUAUUGUGCACAUUGCUGGAACAUUAUUCAUUAUAACACUUAGUUUAAGUACUUUGGAAGGAGCAGUCAGUACUUUGUCACGGGAAGUGUGUGCAGCAACAUAUUUUUUCUCACAUAGAAUACUUUUAGUCACCUGUUCAGAUAGCCAGGAAGUGCCAUAAAGUAGUGUUUUAUUUUCAUAGAAUCUCUAUGCAAGAGUGGAUUGUUUUCUUUAUUCCAAAGUGUUCUGUUCACUGAAUGUGACAAGUCGCGCAUUUUGACGAGAUGUUUUUUUGUAUUGCCUGGGCAACAUACUUUGGAACUAUCAUUUCUGGAGAUCUCUCGUUGAAUGCAUGCAUCUUUGGUAAACAAGUAAAGUGUGAUGGAAAAAAAGCAUGGGCGCACAUAUCUGUCGGACUUUUCGACAUUGUGUGGUUUACGAGCUUGUGGACAGAUAAAUUCCUAGUGGUCAGAAUUGUGUUCAUGAAUCAGUGAAGGCAAUGCUAAGUCAAGCUAAAGUGCUAUAUUAGUGCUCUGACAUUACCAAAGCAUCAUUUUUAUCCAUAAAAGAGCUUUUGUGGCAACAAAGAGAGACAACAUAUCAAACAGCUACUCCAAUGCCUUUCAGAAACUGCACUGUGCUAGACUUAAUAUUUGCCUUCAGUUCCUCUUUAAGGUGCACUGAGUCUGAACUUGUGUCCUUUGUAAGAAGCAAACAGGUUGCAUGUUUAGACAACAAAUGCCCUACGAGGUUCGCGCCUUCGGCAUAAAGACUCUAUUGUUACCAACAAAAGGUGCAUUACAUAGUACCUUUGCAUUAAGUAAAUGCUGUGUAAUGGGUCAAUUAACUUACAAACUGCAAGAUAAAUGUGACAAUCCCAGAUGCCUAUGAACUUAAAUGUGCACAAUGUUGCCAACUUUUAAACUUCUGUUCACGAAGGGGUCGCUUCCUGACUGUUACCUGUAUCUUCUCAAGCCCAGUUGUUUCAAAGGCUCAUUUUUCUUUUAUAUGAAAGUAACAGAAUAAAUAAUUUUGAAACCUUGG